rnacentral:lncRNA from 1 species
UCGACAUCUAUAUUUGUUGAUUUGAAUUAAACAUAUAACAAAACAACACUAAUAUUUCUCAUAAAACAUGAUCAUUUUUCUUUAAAUUAAAUAAGACAUAGCACUUUCCUAUAGCUUCAUAGAUUGUAUGUAAAUAAUUCACUAAACAUAGAACAGGAAUCCCUCUCAAGUUUUAUUUCUCCUCUCUCAGUUUUCAUGCCUCCGCCCUUUCAUUUCCGGCUUCAACACCAUUAGAUUCCUUGCACCCAUUCAACAAUUCGGAUAACCUCGUGGCCAAACUUUGCUUUGCUGCAGGAGAAACACCGUGCUUUCCAACGAUCGACUCUAGAACUGCCUCGGAAAGUAGUUUGUUUUCUAUCACCACGUUUGCAGCUUCAGGUACGGAUGCAUCUCUAGAGAAGCUAAUCUGUGGCGAAAGCGAGAGAGAAUGAUGUCAAAAAUCCGAUGUAAACUACAGAACUAACCAUCCAAAAGUAGGAUUACUAACCGUUAGUGAUCCUUUGGGAGAUUGUGUGAAAAGAAUGGAGGCGCCGGGUGGGAAAUUUUGAUCUUUGAAAACCUCAAGGAACAUUUCAAUGGCUUUGCCUUCCGCAUCCGUGUAAAUUCCGACUAACUUCCAAAAGGCAAUGCAAUUCUCCGAAACUUUCUCAGAGUAUUGCUGGCCUGUCAGUGGCAGUAUCGUUGUCACUUGAAUGAAUUUCUCAAAUGGACCUACAAAAGGAUAGCAAAGAUCAUAAUCCGCGCUACAAAACCUCAGUCAUAUCUUUAGUAACUGUUUCUUAUGCCUCAAGUAAUCAUCAUAACCAGAACAUAGCACUACAUCUUGAGAGAAUCAUUCAUUCUAAUUGGCUAGUCAGGACUAAAUUACCACCAUAAGCACACAUAAAUUUACAAAUUAGAAUACAACUUGAAAAAUUUACAACAUUCAUCGACCGCGACAGAUGUAUAUCGGCCCCUGAGAGAACGGCGGGCUGUAGGAUUGCCUCAAUUUGGCAUGACUAACGAUCAUUCUAAAACGGCUCCACCUUAAGAUGCAAGGCAUGAGUAACAUCUACACUUUCAACAGCAUCAACGAGAUCACAAAUCAAUUUACCAAAAGAUACAGAAGGCAUCCAUUUGAAGAUUAAUAUGAUUAUAUUUUGAAUCUGACCGUUCAACCGGACUAUGAUAAAUAGAAGGGAAGAUACAUAUGAAACCAACUUAUCUUUAACAAGUCAUCCACUUGUAUGAACCUUUUUUAAUGUGAAAAUGUACUUAUGAAAAGGUACGGAUAAAGGGUCGAACAUAUAUAAGUUAGAUAAAAUUGUUAAAUAAAGAGUCGAACGUAUGUAUUCAUAGGGUCGAACAUCAAUGAAUUUUACUCCAAAAGAAGUCAGAGAAAAAAAAAGUGAAGAGUAAAAAGUUAAUUUAAACUCUAAAUUUGACUUGUUUCAUCUCUAAUACACUGAAAAAAAUUAGUUACGUAUAUGAAUAAUUUUUCCUUCUAUCUGGUAAGUUUAGCUAAAAUUGGGUUCACCAUAGCAUGCAAUUUUAUUUCUUUGCUAAUUAUAACACGACAAGGGAACAAAUUUGCAUUGGUAACUGGAAUUUACUGUCAAAAUUCAAACAGUUGUUAAAACAGCAAAGAAAUCCGUGGUACCUGUAACGAUGUCCCUGAAGAACUCAACGGACUCCGUCAACUCCUUGGCUGUCUUACCCUUCCACUUAACGGCGAGCUGAGGCACUGCGUUAUCCUCCAAGUACACUCCGAUUGCCGUGAACUUCACGAAGUUCCCCUGAAUCUCCAGCCCCCUCACCCCUGCGCAUGUUAGGAAGCAAAGUACCGUCAAUCAAAACUAAAAGCAACAAACAAUCAUAAUUACGGAUAUAAGAGCCGGACGUGCGAAGUUUACAAACCUGCGCCGCCGAGGAACAGAGUGUUGGGGGAGCCCGGAGGUUUGACGGACGGUGGAAACGCAGUCGUUUCGACCUGAAGUCCGGCGAGCGACGGUGGUGGAGCUAUUUGACAAUCUUUCUCAUUUCCAGCUUUGGCAUCAUUAGAUUCAUUACACCCGUUCAACAAUUCGGAUAACCUUCCGGCCAAACUUUGCUUUGCUGCAGGGGAAACACCGUGCUUUCCAACGAUCGACUCUAGAACUGCAUCGGAAAGUAGUUUGUUUUCUAUCACCGUGUUUGCAGCUUCAGGUACGGAUGCAUCUCUAGAGAAGCUAAUCUGUGGCGAAAGCGAGAGGGAAAGAUGUAAAAAAUCUGAUGUAAACUACAGAACUAACCAUCCAAAAGUAGGAUUACUAACCAUUAGUGAUCCUUUGGGAGAUUGCGUGAAAAGAAUGGAGGCGCCGGGUGGGAAGUUUUGAUCUUUGAAGACCUCAAGGAACUUUUCAAUGGCUUUGCCUUCUGCAUCAGUGUAAAUUCCGAUUGAUUUCCAAAAGGCAACGCAAUUCUCCGAAACUUUGUGAGAGUAUUGCUGGCCUGUCAGUGGCAGUAUCGUUGUCACUUGAAUGAAUUUCUCAAACGGACCUACAAAAGGAUAGCGAGGAUCAUAAACUGCACUACAAAACCUCAGUCAUAUCUUUAGUAACUGAUUCUUAUGCCUCAAGUAAUCACCAUAACCAGAAGAUAGCACUACAUUUUGAGAGAUUCAUUCAUUCAUUCUAAUUACCACCAUAACCAUAAGCAUACAAAAAUUUAAAAAUGAGAGUAUAACUCAAGAAAUCUACGACAUUUGUUGAACGUUACAGAUCUAUAUCGGCGACUGAGAGAACGGCUGGCUAUAGGAUUGCCUAGGUUUGGUAUGACUACCGAUCAUUCUAAAAGGGCUCCGCCCGAAGAUGCAGGGCAUGAAUAAUAUGUACACUUUCAACAGCAUCAACAGGAGCUCAAAUCAAUUUACCAAAAAAAAUUACAGAAGGCAUCCAUUUGAAGGUUGAUAUGAUUAUGUUUUAAAACCUGACCGUACAACCGGAUUACGACAAAUAGAACACGACAAUGUAACAAAAUUCAACCCGUCGUUAAAACAGCGAAGAAAUCCGUGUUACCUGUAACGAUGUCCCUGAAGAACUCAACGGACUCCGUCAACUCCUCGGCCGUCUUACCCUUCCACUUAACGGCGAGCUGAGGCACGACGUUAUCCUCCAAGUACACUCCGAUCGCCGUGAACUUCACGAAGUUCCCCUGAAUCUCCAGCCCCCUCACCCCUGCGCACGUUAGCAACCAAAAUACCGUCAAGCGGAAGCAAAAGCAAGCAACAAACAUUCAAACAAUCAGAAUCGCGGAUGUAAGCGCCGGAGAUGCGAAGUUUACAAACCUGCGCCGCCGAGGAACAGAGUGUUGGAGGAGCCCGGAGGUUUGACGGACGGUGGAAACGCAGUCGUCUCGACCUGGAGUCCGGCGACCGAUGGCGUUGGAGCCAUCUGACAAUUUUGUUGUUAUUGUGUAGAGAGAGAGAUGGGGUCUGCUUUAGGAAACGGUGGGUUUAAAUAGAGAUGGAAAGUGGACGGGAGAGGGUUUGAUGAGUAAGAAGAGGCAGUUGGGUGGGAGCCUUAAAAAGGUGCCGGCGGCUCAAGGGAGUCCGGGUUUGAUGAGUAAGAAGAGGCAGUUGGAUGAGUAAAAGAUUCAAUUUUAAGUAAGCAACGAACUUUUCUAAGUUAGCUGGUGAUGGGUCCAUCUUGGGUGAUGUGAAAGGGUACGGUGGCAGCUACUACUUUAAGGGUCAUCAAAUAGUUUUAAUUAUGAAAACAACGAUUUAAUUUUGGGGGAUGUGAAAGAGGUUAGGUGGACAGCGGACCUUUACAUAUAUGUAUUUACUGUUUAGCUUUUUGUUUUUAAUUAGUGUGCUUAAAAAAUAAAAUUAACAACUAAAAUUAAAAAUCUUAACAAAUUCAUAAUAAAUAUGUAUGAACUAAUACUAAACUAGAAAACUUACAGAAAUUCUGAAAUUGCUGUUGAUGGCCUUCGCUGGCUUGGGUGGCAUGAUAAAGUUGAAUUUGAUUGAAUUUGAUUGAAAGUAGACUAAUGAAAAGCAAUUAGGUAUAUUAUAUUUAGGAAUAGUAUUAUCUUCCCUCUUUUUUCCCUCCUCUCAUAUUUGAAUAGUCACGAUUAAACCAUGUCAACAUCUUAUAUUAAUUUUUUAUAGCAAACGAAAGACAAAAUAAGAGAAUGAAAGAGAAGGGGAUUGAAAGGGAUGGAAAGAGGAGGUGAGAGAAUCAUAUUCCUUUGAAAGUAGACUAAUGAAAAGCCAUGGGCUUUAUUAAAUUUCAAAUUGUUUGACUUUUUAAUAAAAGAUGGUGAGUGCUAUCACGUGAAGGCUCUCAUGUGGGUUUUUAAUUUUUUUUUUAAUGACUUGGAUCACAAUGACGUAGUUUUGGUCAAGUCGUUUAAAAUAAAAAAAACCUUUCUUCUUCCUCCUUCAGUUUUGCACAGCGCAGCAGCGACCACUGCUCAGACUUGGGUGGUCCUAAGAGGUCUUCGCAACCAUUUAUCCAAGCUUCUGGGUGGUCACGAGGCCACCCUGGUCCCGAGACCAUCCUGGUCCCUUAGUAAAUCUGCCUCUGCACAUGAUAUAGUAAAUUUAAUUAAUUCAUAUAAUAUAUAAGAAGCCAAUUUGUAGCAAAAGUGAGCAGGAAAGAUGUCAAAAUCCGAUGCAAACUCCAAAACUAACCAUUUAAAAUUAGGAUUACUAACCGUCAGUGAUCCCUUGGGGGAUUGCGUGAAAAGAAUGGAGGCACCGGGCAGGAAAUUUUGAUCGUUGAAGACCUCAAGGAACUUUUCAAUGGCCUUUUCUUUUGCAUCAGUGUAAAUUCCGACUAAUUUUGAUUGUUGUCACUUGAAUGAAUUUCUCAAACGAACCUACAAAAGGAUAGCGAAGAUCAUAAACCGUGCUACAAAACUUUAGUCAUAUCUUUAGUAACUGUUUAUUAUGCCUCAAGUAAUCACCACAACUAGAAGAUAGCACUACAUUUUGAGAGAUUCAUUCAUUCUAAUUGGCUGGUCAGGACUAAAUUACCACCAUAACCAUAAGCAUACAUAAAAUUAAAAAUGAGAGUAUAACUCAAGAAAUCUACAACAUUUGUUGAAUGUUACAGAUCUAUAUUGGCAACUGAGAAAAGGGCGGGCUAUAGGAUUGCCUAGGUUUGGCAUGACUACCGAUCAUUCUAAAACGAGGAGCUCAAAUCAAUUUACCAAAAAUUACGGAAGGCAUACGUGUUACCUGUAACAAUGUCCCUGAAGAACUCAACGGACUCCGUCAACUCCUCUGCCGUCUUACCCUUCCACUUAACGGCGAGCAGAGGUACGACGUUAUCCUCCAAGUAUAGUCCAAUCGCCGUGAACUUCACGAAGUUCCCCUGAAUCUCCAACCCUCUCACCCCUGUGCACUUUAGCAACCAAAAUACAGUCAAGCGGAAGCAAAAGCAAGCAACAAGCAUUCAAACAAUCAGAAUCGCAAAAAAUAUGUAUGAACUAACACUGUAACACAAUCUUCGACAAAAAAGAAAAAUACAAUGUAAUAGAAUUCAAGUAAUAUCAAAAAAUCCUAGCGAAUGAACAAUAAAUAUGUAUGAACUAACACUAAAAUAGAUAUGAAAAAAUCCUAAGAAAUUAACAAUGGAUAAGGCUGAACUUUGUUUAAAACCCGUUAGUGUGUGAUUGUUUGGCUUUUUAUAAAAAACCCUUACCAAAAACCAUUAUCAAAGACCCUUACAUAUAUGUAUUCACUGUUCAACCUUUUGUUUUUAAUUAGUGUUCUUAAAAAAUAAAAUAAAAAACUAAAACUAAAAAUCCUAACAGAUUAACAAUAAAUAUGUAUGAACUAACACUAAGAAUAAGUAUGAACUAACAUUAAACUAGAAAACUUACAGAAAUUCUGAAAUUGUUGUUGGUGGCCUUCGCUGGCUUGGGUGGCGUGAGGAAUAGGCAAUUAGGUAUAUUAUAUUUGAUAAAGUUGAAUUUAAUUGAAAGCAGACUAAUGAAAAGCCAUGGGCUUUUAUUAAAUUUCAAAUUGUUUGACUUUUUAAUAAAAGAUGGUGAGUGCUAUCAAGUGGGUUUUAAAUUUUUUUAAUAACUUGGCUCAAAACAACGUCGUUUUGGUCAAGUCAUUAAAAAAAAAAAACCUUUCUUCUUCCUCCUUCAGUUUUGCACAGCGCAGCAACCAUGGCUGCUGCUCUUCUCUACCACUGCCCAGACUUGGGUGGUCCUAGGAGGUUCUCACAGCCAUUUAUCUUAGCUUCUCUUUGGUCCCGAGACCACUUUGGUCCCUUAGUAAAUCCGCCUCUGCACCUUAUAUAGUAAAUUUAAUUAAUUCAUAUAAUAGAUAACAAAUUUACCUAAAUCCGUCUAGACGGCCUAGGUGCGCUCGCCUAGAUCCCGCCUAGCCGACUAGGCACUAGGCGCCAGCCCAUCGCCCAACCAGCGCCUAGCGUUUUUUAGAACCUUGGUUUACAUGUCAAUAAUGUUAUAAUCCAACGUGUCAAUAAUGUUACAAUCCAACGUGUUAUAUUUCAUCUAAUUUUAUAUUUCAUGUAAUUUGGUUUGAUGCUGCUAAUCUUUCUGUUGUUGAAGGAUUUAGAUUGUGUAACAAUUGAUUAGUUUGCAGGAGAAUCAAGGGGAAUUUAUCAAAUAUAGCCAAAAUUUAGCCUUUAAUUUCAAAUAUCUCAAUUUUUAUAAAUAUUUUCAAAUAUAUCUAAAAUCUCACUUAAAUAGACACAAAUACUCUCAAAUUUAAAAACCAAAUAAACAAAAGAACCAAAACUCUAUUAGGUGAAAAAUUAGAGAAUUUGACAGCAAAACCCUAGGCAUAAGAAAUGGUGGAGACAUGUGCAUAAGAGAGUGAAGGCAUCGGUUAGUAGGAAACGGUGGAGACUUGUGUAGCUGUAAACGACGGUGAGUGUAGAUGGUUAAUUUUCUUGCAUAUUUUCUUGUCUAUGUUUUUUCUUUGCUUUUGUUGUUCUUCCUUUGAUUAAAUAUUUAUUGAAGAAUGAAUUGUCAAUCCUUGUUUACGUUUUCUCUUUGUCAGACGUUGUACCACAACACUUGUAGGUAAAUUUUUGGAUUUUGCACUUGUUUGUGUUUGCUUUAGAUUUGCGGUGGACCUCAUGGAGUAAAUCAUAGCUCUUCCUGUGUAUUACGGUGUUUAUGAAUUUGUUAGUGCAAGUUGAGCAAGAUCAACCAGUUUUUCAUGCCGCAUUUACAAACAGAAUCAAUCACCUUCAUAGUCCUCAAUUCAUGAGUCAGCAACACUUUGAUUGUAGCACUAGAAGUCUUUUAGUCAAUAACUAAUUAUUCAAAGAAAUUGAGGGUAUUUGUGUCUAUUUAAGUGGAAUUUUGGAUAUAUUUGAAAGUUUUUAUAAAAACUGUCAUUUAUGAAAUUAAGGGUCAAUUUUCGGCUAUAUUCGAUAAAUUCUCAUAAUCAAGUGACACAAAGAAGGAUCGAAACAAGUGGGGUGGUGGAGAAAAGGAUUGUUCACUCUUGAUGCUUGGUUCUAAGGCCAUCUCCAACCGAAGGUUGGCCAAAACCCUCUAAGAAAUUAAUAUUUUAAUGAACAGUGUAGGGCCAUAUUCCUUAGGCCAUCUCCAACCGAAGGAUCCAGAGGGCCAGACGCCCGAAAAUUAUCUCCAACCGAGGGCUAGGCCAGAGAGGUCGUGGAAUUUUAGAGGGCUCCACGGAAUCUGAAAGGGCUUGAUGGCUGUAGGGCUGGCUACGGCUGGCCAGAAAAUUGAUUAAUCUUGUCGAUUAUAACCGACAGUAAUACAUUUAUAUUAAAUACAAUAAAUGUAUUCUUGUCGGUUAUAACCAACAGGAAUUCUUAAAAAGACUUUUGAAUCCAACGGCUAGCUGGCUCCAGUUACCAAUGGAUUCAAGUUUUUUGUUUUUUUUUAGGUUUUUUGGGGCUUUUGGUGAAACACCCUAACCCCAUUUUAUUUAAAAAUUGUUUUAAAGCCUUAAUUGGUGAGCCCGUGGGACCCACUUUGUUUUAUUUUUUUUGUGUUUCCCGGUCUCUUUCUCUCCUAUCCCAGUUCUCUUUCUUCCUCUUCUUCUUCCCUUUCCCGUAUACCCCUCUCAACUCUCUCUCUCCAUCUCUAUCAACGUGAACACCCACCACCAUAAUCACCGCAGCUACUCUACUCGAGAACAUCAUCAUCAUCAAGCACUGCUCUAGUCUUUCUUCCAUCGCAGCGAGAUUGGUGAAAGCAGAGAAAAGGAACCUCCGGCGAGCACCGCCCCUUUUGAGGCUAUUUCAGGCCAAACCACGGUGAUUUGGCCGGCGUGUAAGGUAUCAAUUUCUUCGUCUCGUCGAGAACUACAACUUUCCUUUUUGUUUCACUUGAUUUCGUUGAGUAUUGAAGAAGUUAUACUCAUUUGAAUCUUACCCAGUUUCCAGCGACCUCAGUGGCUUUCGAGGCAUUUUCCGGCCAAACCAUGGCAAGUUGGAUGUCGUGUAAGGUAUCAUUCUCUUCGUCUCUUCAAGGGAUACAACUUUAUUUUUUGUCUCGCUUGAUUUCGUUGAGUAGUGACCAAGUUAUAGCCGUUUAAAGUUGGGUGGUUUUCCGGCCGAAUCUCCGGCCUUCUUCUUCGGCAAAACCAGGCCUCUCAGGCCCUUUAGAAAACCCCACGGGCCUUAAGCCUGUUAUAUCUUAGCCCAAAACCCCAGCCCACAUCCUUUUUGUUUUUGUUUAUUUGUUUUUAAAAACCCAAAGGCCUUGGGCCGGUUUUUGGUUAAGGGGCUCUAAGCCCAACCCUUUAAUAAGGCCUUAGGGUCGGCCUCUGUGUGUGUGUGUGUGUGUGUUGUGUGGGUUGUGCACUGCAUGUGCAGCCCGUGUGUGUGUGUGUGUGUUUGUUUGUGGUGUGUGUGUGUGUGUGUGUGUGUGUUUGGGGUUUAAGCCCAAACCACAUUUCUUCACCCUAAACCCUUUUAACCCAAAAACCUUAGAAAACCCAAAACCCAAUAUAUCCUAAUCCUAUUUAACCUAAACCCUAAUCCGGAUUUCAAGCCUAAAACCCGAUAGACCUAAUUUGACUAUUGACCCCCGGUCAACGUUGACUUUAGGGUUAACUUUUCAGGUUUUCGUCCGGGACCCUUCUUAGGGUAAUUCGACAUAUUCAAGAUGAUAUUCCUUGGUGUAUGCUUCUCGCAGACGAUAUAGUGUUGAUAGAUGAAACUCAGGAAGGGGUAAAUGCAAAGCUUAACCUUUGGAGAGAAGUGUUGGAAUCUAAAGGUCUUCGCCUAAGCUGAUCAAAGACAGAAUAUAUAGAGUGCAAGUUCAGUGCAAAUGGAGGCCAAAACGAGUUAGGGGUGAGGAUCGGAGAUCAAGAAAUACCAAAGAGCGAUCGUUUUCGUUACCUAGGAUUUAUCUUGCAAAAGAACGGAGAAUUAGAUGGAGAUCUCAACCAUAGAAUACAAGCUGGAUGGAUGAAGUGGAAGAGUGCAUCCGGCGUAUUGUGUGACCGUCGUAUGCCACUGAAGCUCAAGGGAAAAUUUUAUAAGACGGCAAUAAGGCCGGCGAUGCUGUAUGGCACAGAAUGUUGGGCGGUGAAGCAUCAACAUGUACACAAAAUGGGUGUAGCGGAGAUGAGGAUGCUUCGUUGGAUGUGUGGGCACACAAGAAAGGAUAAGAUUAGGAAUGAGGAUAUCCGGGGUAAAGUAGGAGUAGCCGAAAUUGAAGGAAAGAUGAGAGAAAAUCGGUUACAGUGGUUUGGACAUGUGCAAAGAAGGCCUAUUGACGCUCCGAUUAGAAGAUGCGACUAUGGGACAGAGGUUCAGGGCCGAAGGGGUAGAGGAAGACCUAGGAAAACUUUGGAAGAGACUCUAAGAAAAGACUUAGAGUACUUGGAUCUAACGGAGGACAUGACACAGGACCGAGCACAAUGGCGUUCAAAGAUUCAUAUAGCCGAUCCCACUCAGUGACUUCGAUUUUCCAAGUCUCCAACCGAGAAGUUUUCCUCACUCGGGAAAUUAAGGGAAUACUACCUCAACCUACAUGCUCCACUCACAAAGCUUUAACAUACAAGCUUCAACAAAAGAAAAUUCAGAGAACUUAGCGAAGAAGGCUUUGGUGUAUUCAACACAAUACGUUGAAAUGAAGGAAAGCUAUUUAUUGAUAUCCCCGAUAAGUCACAAAUAUGUACAUAUACAUGAGUCAAAAUAAACAAACAAGAGGGAGCCUUCACAAAGGUUGCUUAGGAGAAGUCUCAGUAGUCGGUAGAGCCCCAGAAAGAGCAGGCACUGGAGGGGGAUCAUUUGGAGCCUCAGUACUGGACAGAACCCUAGAAGGAGGAGGCAGCAGAGGUUGAUCAUUUGGAGCUUCAUUACGCGGUAUAGCCCCAGAAGACGAAGGCAAUAAAUGCCUUUGGAACAAACCCACAAAUCUCUGAUGAUCAAGUAAAACCUGACCAUCAGAUUCCUUCAUCUGGUCAAGCUUCCUCUUUAUGUUUGUAGCAUAGUCAUGUGCGAGCCGGUACAACUGUUUAUUCUCAUGCUUGAGCCCUCUAAUCUCCUGUUUGAGACUCAUCACUUCAGCCGCCAAUGAUUCAACUUGGCGGGUUCGAGCAAAUAGGCGUUGGGCCAUGUUAGACACAGAACCUGCACACUGAACACUGAGAGCCAGAGAAUCCUUAACAGCCAAUUCAUCAGACCGUUUGGAAAGUAGUCUGUUAUCUUUGGGAGUGAGAAGGUUCCUGGCCACUACCGCAGCGGUCAUAUCAUUCUUCAUCACGGAAUCCCCAACAGUAAGAGGACCAGUAGGGGAGACGAAGGAUGGGCGCCAUAUGUUGUCUGGAGAAGGCGUGGCUGCCUCUUCAACAAGGUUCAAGUCAAAACGACGGUCGGAGGGGCCAUACAUUUUCAAAGGUGUUGAAGAGAGAAGAGGUCGGACAAAUCAAGAUCUUAGAAGUGCAAGAAUGGAGCUUUUACUGGUGGAGAUUCAAGUGUGCUUUGGAACUUAAUGCCAGCCUCUAUAAAAAUCUGCACUCGACGGAGCUUCAGAAAUCGAAGAGGCGUUUGCUUUCUCAAAAGCUGUGCUGCUCAGAGACCACGAGACGUUUGCUUUCUCAAAAGUUGGGCUGCUCAAAGACCACGAAGGCCGAUCUCAGAAAUCGAAGAGGCGCUUGCUUUCUCAAAAGCUGGGCUGCUCAGAGACCACGAUGGCUGAUCUCAGAAAUCGAAGAGGCACCUACUUUUCCAGCCUUGUCAGCACCUGUCAGCUUUGCGGAAAUUAUGGGCAUUAUGUCGAAGAUUUCUGGUGAAGUAGAAAGCACAUGAAUCUUACUGUUCAAUCACCCACUUCCCAUACGCAACAUUAGCUCAUGGGUACCACAGAUAACUUUGCCAAAGUUCUCUGACAAAGUUGAGACACGUGAAGCUUGCAGCUCCCACUACACCGCUCUGACCAAGAAGGGUAAAAGAAUAGCAGAGAAACAGCACUAAUAAAGUUUAGACACAUAAAUUUUGAAGGUCUAGCUACCAUAUUAUUACCCACAAGGGUAAAGGAACAGUACCACUGCUGGAUAAUUGGAAAGUCCCUGUGUGUCAACCUCUGUGCUUCGUGGCAAGAUAGACUAGCAAACAUGCCCAACCUUUUCUUACAUUCGAGAAAACACUCCCAACAAGACUGCUUGUUCCAAAAUCAAAGAGGCACCGCCCUCCGAAUCUCGAGAGCCAGACUCCCAACAUGAUUACUUUCUCAAAAAUCGAAGAGACACCGCUCUCCGAAUCUCGAGAGCCAGACCCCUAGCAGGAUAGCUUUUUCAAAAAUCGAAAAGGCAUCGUUCUCCGAAUCUCGAGAGCCAGAUCUCCGACAGGAUUGCUUGUUCGAAAACCGAAGAGGCACCACUUUCCCAACUUCAAGAGCCGGAUCUCCUUGGAUAAAGUUUGUCUGUAAUCUUUACACGCAACAUCAGCUUUCCAGAUACCACAGACCAUUUUUUCAAAGUGCUCUGACAAAGUUAAAACAUGUGAAGCUGGCAGCUCCCACUACCGUGUUAUGACCAAGCAGGGUAAGGGAAUAGCAUUACUACUUGUUGUUAGGGAGACUCCUAUAUAUGUUGACCUCUAUCCCCAACAGACAGGCAGACCUGCAAAAAUGGUCAACCCUUCCUCAUAUCUGAGAGGGCACUCCCAAAGAAGCCUUUCGAAAUAUUCAGCUUUCUUUCCCCCCGAUAAUACCUCUGCAAACAAGCUAUACUAGGGCAAGAAUAUCUCAUAUCAUCAGGGUUAAAAGCAAGAGUAUCCCAUAUCAUGUUGUUUCCCUGUCUUUUCCUUUGGCCUUGUUCUUACCUACAAGACAAGGAGAAAGAGAGCAAUCAGUCAGCACUUGGAAUCAAGCUUCCAGUCAGGAACUGACUGCCUGGAACCCCUUACUUGAUUACUUACCUGGCAUUGCUCUCGAGUACUCAUCUUCAACAUCUUAUGCUUCCAGGGAAGAUACCGCAUCUGCCUGAGGAACAUAUAGGGCAAGUGAGAAGGAUACAAGGAAGCAUGUGGAGACAAGCGUAACAGCACACGUGCCGAUACAUCCACUACUCUGUCCAAAGCAAAAGUAUCCCAUAUCAACAGGGUCGAACGUACUAUAGAUUUGAUGGACUUGUUUUGACCCUCAAAUUCUUCAGUCGGCCUUAUACUCUGGGGGAAACCAGAAAACCCUCCAGCUCAGUUCAAGAAUAAGCCUGUGGAAAGUUACUUCUUCAAAAGCAAAAGUAUCCCAUAUCAUCUCUUCUCAUUUUUCUUCUCUUUAUCCUUCAUGCUGCCUGCAAGAUAGGGAGAAUGUGAACAAUCAGCCAGAACUCAAAAUCAAAGUUCUGAUCUGGGACUGAUUGCUUGGAGCUAUGAUUGCUUACCUUGUCUGUCACCUCUUUCAACAGAUCCCCUAGCUCGGCGACUUGGAGGACUCCUACUACAUGGUUUGUAUCGCGCUUGACCAAGCCUGAAACUACAAGUAAGUUUCAAGUGAAAUUGAUACAUUAUCUUGUGCAUCUCCACCAGUUAAAGAUACCACCCCUGGAUGGAGGAAGAGUACUUCCAGAGAAGAUGCCACAUCUACCUACGAGACAGAUAAGGCAAGUCAAGACGAUACCACACUCCGGAACUUAGAAGUUUCGUGAUUACGAGAUCAUUCUCCCAUAAUAUUUCCUAAUGUCAUUUGUACUAAAUCAUUCACUUGUACUCACUAAAAGAGAGCUUGAACCUAUGUACUUGUGUAAACCCUUCACAAUUAAUGAGAACUCCUCUAUUUCAUGGACGUAGCCAAUAUGGGUGAACCACGUACAUCUGGUGUUUGCUUUCCUAUCUCUAUCCAUUUAUAUAUUUAUCCACACUAAUGAUCGGAGUAAUCUAGCGACGAUCACAAAAAGCGACCGUUUUCGCUACCUAAGAUCUAUCUUGCAAGAGAACGGAGAAUUAGAUUGAGAUCUCAACCAUAGAAUACAAGCUGGAUGGAUGAAGUGUAAGAGUGCAUCCGGCGUGUUGUGUGAUCGUCGUAGGUCACUGAAGCUCAAGGGAAAAUUUUAUAGGACGGCAAUAAGGCCAGCGAUGUUGUAUGGCACAGAAUGUUGGGCGGUGAAGCAUCAACACGUACACAAAAUGGGUGUAGCGGAGAUAAGGAUGCUUCGUGGGAUGCUUCGUGGGAUGUGUGGGCACACGAGAAAGGAGAAGAUUGUGAAUGAGGAUAUCCGAGGUAAAGUAGGAGUAGCCGAAGUUGAAGGAAAGAUGAGAGAAAAUCAGUUACGGUGGUUUGGACAUGUGCAAAGAAGGCCUACUGACGCUCCGGUUCGAAGAUGUGACUACGGAACAGAGGUUCGGGGCCGAAGGGGUAGAGGAAGACCUAGGAAAACUUUGGAAGAGACCCUAAGAAAAGACUUAGAGUACUUGGAUCUAACGGAGGACAUGACACAAAACCGAGCGCAAUGGCGUUCUAGGAUUCAUAUAGCCGACCCCACUUAGUGGGAAAAGGCUUUGUUGUUGUUGUUGUUGGACUUUUUAUGUGCUUAGGGGCAAUUAUUGUGACGUUUCCGUCUUCGCUAGUGGCGCAGCUUUUAGCAACUAAGUACUGUGAGUGGACCCCUUCUAAAAUUACAUGAUUUUAUAGUAAAUGCAUAAAUGAUUAGCAUGCCUACAAAUUUAUGAAUUGAUUUAUGUUAAGCCUGUUUAUGAAAUUUAUUGAUUUCGUCUCGUGUUUUGGUGAGGAAAUGAAUUGUUAGCCUAGUUUGUGCUAUAUUUUAAUAUAUCUUAUUUUCUAUAAAAACCAUGAACUGGUAGACUAUCCGAUGGAUGACGAUAGGAUGCUAGAACAUGUUUUAGAAACCCCUCUUUAUAGUAUAGACAAUGGAUGACUUUAUACUAUGAAGUGGUUAUUUAUGAGAGGCGUAAAUAUUUGUGCGUACCUAGUAGACACUAUGCCGCCUGGGGCGAGGAUCUGGUGUUGGCAUGUAGGCCGGGAGAAAUAAUCCCUAACGAAAGGCUGAGGGACACGGAGACAUGGGCCGGGAGGGAGUUAUCUCUGGCUACGGGCACAGAGACUGAGGUGCAGGCAUUGGGCUGAGAGUUAUAUUUAUUCGGUGAUCUUUCUAGCAGCACACCGCGUUUACGAGACGAUUUAUGAUACGUUUAUUGUUUUGAUUUCCUCGAUGCGUUUCCGCGAUAUGACUUUUGACAUAUUUGGCAUGCUAGGAUUUUUAUUAAAUCCAUCACUUACUAUGCUAGUAGUUUUCACUAUUUAAACUUUGGGGGUUAGUAUGUUGAUAACUGUUUUAUUAUUAUUGUAUAUAUAAACUUGGUCCACUCACUUUUGUUUUGCGCCCCCAUUCAGGUCAUAGAAAUGAGGACUACGACUUGACGUACGAGGCAUUCCCCUACCAAUAGCACUCUAUCACUCACUUGUGUGAUAUCUUGUAAUGCUCUUUCUUUUUUGUAAAUCUUGGUUUAGUUUGUGUCUGGUUCAUUCUAGAUACUUCCUUGAACUUUGUUAAUUAUUCUUAAAUUCUGAUGUUAUUCAUGAAUAUUUUCUUCUAAUCAUUACUCUUAUAAUCAAUUAAUGGCUUUCGUCACACUCAGGUGUCGGCCAGUACGUGCCUAUCCUGAUAUUCGAGGAAUAUCAGGGUCGGGGCGUGUCAGAUUGGUAUCAGAGCCAGGUUUGUUCAGAGCAUACUUAGGAUUCUCUUCUAUUCUCAUAAAGUCUUGGUUUUGACAUCAUUUGGAUGUCACGAUUUCUGGAUUUUGUGCCAGUCGGUGCAGUUGUGCAAACCUUUCUCUGUUUGAAUUGUCAUCUUCUGGUUGAAAUACAAGAAUUCGUGUCGGGAUUGUGCCUCAUCGAUGACGUGUUUGAUUUGUUGGACGACUUUAAACAUCAGAUCGAUACUCAGCGACAUGUUUUAGAAAUCUCAAUUUGAGGAAUUUUGGUUAAGACCAGCCGUAGAUUCGAAAUGGCGAUGCCACUCUGCAACAUGCGUUCCCUAGGAAUUGCAGGCGAAAUCGGCUCUACAUCGAAAUCUUUGGAAACUCCUCAGUAGUAAACACUAUUCUCAUCAAUUUCCAAAUUGAGUUGCAAUUCUUGUUGUUGUUGUAGUUGGAUUUGGAUGAUGAAUAUCCAGCCUUGUUUGGAUAAACAGAUUCCUUGAAUUUCACCUGGGUCUGGUACUCGACGGAAAACCCUAGUUCCUUGUCCGCGAGUUUUUCAGGGAAGGUGAACUUAGUCCCUUGCUUGCAGCCUAGCUGUUCAGCUUUGUAAUUUUCAGUGUAAUGGCUUGAGACUUUAUCAUAUUCAUCAUUAUAUGAAGAUCGAGCUUUACUCUGAACUUCUCUGGACUCAUUGAGCUUUGGUUUACUCAAUGGGCAAAUCAAUUUUAAGGUAGCCAAUCGUGCCACUGCAUGCAUACGCAGGUUGUUUUGUAUCUUCCUUCUUCGCUAUUCUGCUGAUUCAGAGAUUCUACAUUUAAUUUUUGAACUUUGAAACAGCUCUCACAAAGUGUUGUAUUUCAAAAUUGUCUUACACGUCAAAUCUUAUUAUCAGUUCUUAAUAUUCUUGAGUCUAGACCUAUUUCCUUUGGUAGAAACAGUUGACCAUACUGUGAUGAUUUGCAAAAUAAUCAUAAAGUGAAUUUGUAUUUCUGCAUCUUUAUCUUCCUUCGUUGUGGUUUCUCAAUGUAAAUUGAAUCAUGCCAGAACAUAUAUGGAGGUUUUGUAGCGUGGUUUUGUUCACAUCCUGAUUUUCUUAAUCUAUCUUUUAUGGAAUUGUUUGACUCUUCAGAAUUCUUGAGAUUGUUCAGCCUUUCCGACUGUUCUCGCGUCAAUAGUUGAGAAUUCACGAUUGAUGGAUUCGACGAAGUGUGCGCCCAAUUCCUUAUCGAUUCGGACAUAAGUUGGGAGCAUAAUCUUUUACAAACUUACCAGACUACCAGAAGAAUCCAAUGUGGGUAAUGAGGUUUAAGUUGUAUUUUUAGAGACGGUGAAGACUUGUGGUACAAGAGGUCAGCAAUUGUAUCACUCUUACAAGAAUUCAUAGGCUCACAUCGUUAUUUUCAACGAUUAUGUGUUCGUCUCGCGAUAUUUCCACGCUUUACUUUCAACCUUAUUGUUGAGUACAUAUCUUUGUUAAACAGUUCUAGCGAUCUGUUUGGUGCAUUCUGGAUAUCUACAGGAAUCGGUUUGAAGCGAGAAUUGGAUAAUCCCUUUACAUUUUCCGAAAUGUGCAUGUUCUCUUUGUUUGUUACGGAUGACCUAUUUUGAGAGUCGUUCUUCUUUCCACCAAUUUUGAUCUGUUUUGACUAAGAAAUCUGGCAACUCAAGCAAAAUUGGAGAUUGUUUAAGCACACGAGCAGUUCCUUAAGAGAUCUGGCUGUUAGAAGAUGAUUCUUCGGAACUUGCUUGCUUUGGUUCGACUUUGGCUCUUACUACAUGGUGCCACUUCUUCUUGAAUCCCAAGUACGAGUCUCUCAGAAUUGGGUUAUUAUUGGCAAAAUCGAUUUAUUACAUUAUGGAAGACGCUAAGGAUUGAGCUUGGGCUGAUAAUUUUUACGACAGCAGUUUCUGUUUUUUUGGUUGGUAUGGCACUGUUUGCCGGUGUAACCGAAUUUCUCCAGGUACUUGGGUUUGUUCAGAAGUUGUGCGAGCGUUGUAUUAUUUUCAAUUAACGACGUGUAAAAUUUGCAUCCUCAGAUAAAUUUGCUGUUAUAGGGCAUUUGUGUGAAUGAUAUCACCCGGCUCCUUUGUUGAAUAUCGAUAGCUUUAUUUGUGGAUUAAAGCAGUGGUGGAAUCGUCUAAGUAGCUGACGCAGAUCUCAGAAUGUUAUUCUUGGUUUCCCAAAGAUACAUUUGUAUUCUCGAAGUGGGUGACAUUUCGAAUCCUUGGGUGGACCUCCUCAUUCUUCCAAGUUUGAUUUUAGUAUAAAGUAUUGAACUAUUUACUCAGUUUUGUUUGACAACAAAUGUUGAAAAGUAUUUCUGUUUUUUCAUUUUUAAGUUGAUCGAGUUUUUGGAAAUAUGUUUAGUACAAUCAUUUCGUUAUUCCUUAAAUGUGUUCACUUAAUCAUUAAGAUGUUUUCCAAUUUUCCCUGAGGGGAAAAAAAUUUUGAGCCUGGAGGCAUGAAAAAGAAUCAUUCAAACCCCAUCGCGAGGCAUGCCAAUUCUCUUUUGUAGCAACGUUCGGGAUUUCUUCGAAACGUAGUUAUAAAUGUGUAUCUUUCGUAUUUUCCGAGUUUUUCAGUUCCUGUUAUUUUAAUGGAGCUUUUUUAAAAGGGUGGUAAUUGAAACAUCAACCCAUUGAUUUUUGUUUAAAGCUAAUGGUGAGCCGUGGGGCACUUGUUUAUUUUUUUAGUGUUUUCCCGGUCUCCCUCUCUCCUAUCAAGUUUUCUUUCUUCCUCUUUCUUCUUCCGCUUUCCGUAUACCCCUGUCAUCUUUUCUGUCCUUUCCUAUCACAUGAACACCACCACAUAAUCACCUGACUUUCUACUAGACAAUCUCAAUCAGCACUGCUCAGUUACUAAUGACGAGAUUGUGAAGCAAUGGAACGAGAGCUUCGUAUUCUCAGAUCUUGCGGUUAUUAUCUUCCUUCGCCGUCGAGAAUCAAACUUUAGUUUUGUAACACAUUUCCUCAAUUGAAACGUUAUACUUCUCUUACCAUUUCUGGCGACCUAGUGAAAGAGGCAUUUUUCGGCAAACUGGAGGUGGACGACUAGUGAAGGAACUGUCUCUUAGGGCUACACUUUCGGUCUCGCUUAUUUGUAGUAUACAAGUUAAGCCGUUUUGUGUUUUUUCGAUGAUCUCGGAAUUUUCGCAACUGUUGCGGAAACCCAGCUUAAAGCUGAAUAUCUUAGAAAACCCACCACAUCUUCAAUGUUGUAUGCCAAUCCGGAAUGGUAACAUAGCAAUUUCUGCAGUUUGUGUGUGUUGGUUUUGUACUAGCACGCAGUAGUUAUUUGGUGUUUUGGGUUGACACCCAAAAAUUGUACAACCCUUUUAAGAAAAACUUGCCAAUCCCAAAUACCUAAUCACACUACAUAUGAUUCGAAACCGCAGAUUUUACCAUGAUCGUUCACGUUGACUUUACAGGGGGACCGAUUUCUCCGGAUUCUAAUUUGUAGAACUUAUUUUUGAACAUUGCAUUAAAGAUCAAUGAUGUGCUGGGAACAUAGAAGAUUCGCUCUAUAGUUUACCUAAUAGUAGUAUUCUAAAUUCAUGAUUUAUGUAAAUUGAUAAAUCUUAGCAUGCUACAAAUUUUCAUUAUUUAUGAAAGCCUGUUUAGAAUUUAAAUAUUUUUGUGUUUUCUAAACUUAAUUUUUAGCCUAUUUUGGAUUUUUAAUUAAGUAUUUUCUAUAUUUCAUGACUGGUAGUUAUGUGACUAGAUGUAGAAUGUUUUAGAAACGAUCCCUCUUUAUAUAAUAGAGAUAUGAUUUAUUUGGUGGAAUUAUGUAGACGUAAAUAUUUUGACUUUAUCUGCCUUAAGGAUCUGGUGUUGGCAUAGGCGCGUUAAUUGAAUAACAAAAGGCAUUGGCCUAUCUUGACCCACGGACAGAGAAAGGUGAGCAUGGAGGGAUUAAAGAUGGGAUCUUUUGCAACAACGCAGAGCGACGGAUCUUCCGGAUUGGAUGCAUUUUUCUUUUGAGAUACCAUGCUAUUUUUUCUCUCUUACAUGUUCUAGUAGUUUCAUAUUUGCUUGGGGUAUUUUGAUCGCAGAUUAUUGUAUAUAUAAGGUAUAAUUUGGUUUUGCGCCCUAUCAGGGAACGAACUAAAUUUGUUCCCUAAUUCACCUAAGAUUGUGUGAUUCGAAACCCCAAAUCUUUAUAUUUGUGUUGUUUUUAAAGCCUUACUUAGGUUAUACUCUAAAUGGAGGAGCAAAAUAACAACAACUCUUUUAUUUUUUUUUUGAGAUUCACCUUAUCAACUACUUCUACCAAUCAUCCCAAGUUUUCUUUUAUCAUUAUCCUUUUUCCCUUUGUAGUUACCCCUGUCAUCUUAUCUUGUCACUUUUUCUUAUCUACCUAUUGAUCAACCACCCACGAUUAAUCACCAUGUUGCACAUUUGUCGAUACCACUUCAUUAAACAUUAAUCAUCAAUUCUAAGUUAUUGCAUCUAGUUCUUCAUAAUUCCUAGUAACGCUCAGCCGAAGAAUUGGCUCGAAGCAGAGAAAAAAAAGUGACAAAAUCUGGCCAUAAAAGAAAACUAUCCCUAAACCAAAGUGGGCUGGGCAAUGGAAAAAACAAAAUAAAAUAAAAUUUGAAAUUGGGGCUAACAGUGGGCUGGCUGGCUGAAAGGUGGCCAGUCGGUGGCCCUUUCAGAUUCUGUGGGGGCCCACGAGCCUUUAGCCUAACCUCUUGGUUGGAGAUGAUUUUCGGUAUUUUUUCGACUUCUAAGCCCUUUUGACCAUUCGUUGGAGAUGGGCCUAAGGUUUGCUUUAGUGAGGCACGUCGGGGAGUAAGUGUUGAGAAUAAAGUCUCACAUCCGUGAGAUGAGGGACUUUACAUACAGCUUAUAAGAGGUUUGAGCUACCUUUUCCAUAUUGCCAAAUUGGUUUUAUGAUGAACCCCAACUUUUCUUCAGCGUAUCAGAGUAACGGAUUGUCUCACUUAUGAAGCCAAAGAACGGCCACUGUGUGUCACGUUACCCAUGUUGUGUUGUCCACAGUAUGUUGCCGAAUGAGAUCACCAUUGAUGGACAAGGAGGGACCUUCCAAUCUCUAAAACAUUGCAAGAUAAGAUUUGAUACAUAAAUGGAUUUCGGAUUUAAUCUAUUUAAUGAGAUAAUGAGACAAAGACACAAUAAUCAGAAUCGUACUAAACUUUUCGUGGUUUUUCAUUGGUUUAUUGUUUAAAAAAAUCAAUUCGCAAAGAAGAGAUAUUUUACCUAUUUCUUUUGGUAAAUUUGUAGAAGUAGAAAUAUGAUUGAAGUGAAUCGUCAAUGUUUUUACCGUUUGAAGAAAGGAAUAUUAAAGGCUGCAAAUGUCCUGUGUAGCGGAGGAUCUAAAGAUAUUGGAAGGGUGCCUUCUUGCCCAAGAGAAAAAUCACUACGAGCUUAAAACGAGGAGUUGACAAAGCAACUUGGAGGCAUUUCUAAACGAGCCCUAUGGCCCUUUGGCCCUCGGUUGGUGACGGAAGCAAAUAUGACUCUGUACUGUUCAUUAAAUUAUUAAUAUCUUGGAGGGUCAGAGGGCUAAAAUGAGCCAUCUGGCCAGCCCUUGGUUAGAGAUGGCCUUACCAUCUCCAAUUGAGGGCCAAAGGGCCAUAAAGCUUGUUUUAGCACUGUCACAAAAAACUGUCUCCAACCGAGAGCCACAAGGCUAUAGUAUGGAAUGUGAAGAAUUGAGAUAAAAUGAGGUAAUAUAGUAUAAAAUAGUGAAAAAUAUGUGAGAAAUUGUGUAGGAAAAAAAUUAGAAAUAAAAAAAAAAAAAAAAAAAAAAAAAGGGCUGUUGGGCAUAAAAACAAAAAGUGGGUUGGGACUGGGACCAUAAAAAAAAAAACUAAGCCCUAAACCCUAAAGUGGGCUGGGCAAUGGAAAAGAACAAAAUAAAAUAAAAUUUGAAAUUGGGCUAACCAGUGGGCUGGCUGGCUGAAAGUGGCCAGUCGGUUGGCCCUUUCAGAUUCUGUGGGGCCCACGAGCCCUUUAGCCUAACCUUUGGUUGGAGAUGAUUUUCGGGUAUUUUUCGACCUUCUAGCCCUUUUGACCAUUCGAUUGGAGAUGGCCUAAGGUUGCUUAGUGAGCACUCGGGGAGUAAGUGUUGAGAAUAAGUCUCACAUCGAUGAGAUGAGGGACUUUACAUAAGCUUAUAAGAGGUUGAGCUACUUUUCAUAUUGCCAAUUGGUUUUAUGAUGAACCCCAACUUUCUUCAUGGUAUCAGAGUAGGUUGUCUCACUUAUGAAGCCAAACGGCCACAUGUGUGUCACGUUACCAUGUUGUGUUGUCCACGUAUGUUGAGAAUGAGUCACACAUUGAUGGAAGGAGGGACCUUCCAAUCUCUAAACAUUGAAGAUAAGAUUUGAUACCAUAAAUGGAUUUCGGAUUUAAUCUAUUUAAUGAGAUAAUGAGACAAAGACACAAUAAUCAGAUCGUACUAAACUUUUUCGUGGUUUCAUUGGUUUAUUGUUAAAAAAUCCAAUUCGCAAAGAAGAGAUAUUUUUACCUAUUUCUUUUGGUAUAAUUUGUAGAAGUAGAAUAUGAUUGAAGUGAAUCGUAAAUGUUUUACCGUUUGAAGAAAGGAAAUUAAGGCUGCAAAUGUCUGUGUAGCGGAGGAUCUAAAGAUAUUGGAAGGGUGCCUUCUUGCCCAAGAGAAAAUCACUACGAGCUUAAAACGAGGAGUUGACAAAGGCAACUUGGAGGCAUUCCCAAUUCUAACCUGUAUUUUCGAGCUGCGGGAGUCCGUUCAAGCCUUGCAGCUAGUCCUAAGUUCGUCGGGUAGAUAAUGAAGUGGCAGAUGUUGUUGCAUCACAACAAGGAGCGGAGAUGAGUGAUUUUUUUUCUGUUGUUAGACCCCCAUCUUCGUUUGUCAGGAUCUUGAACAAGAGGGGCUUGUCAUAUCCACUAGUUGAAGUGAGUGAGAAGUGUGAGGGGAUGAUGUUUGGCCUAUCUGUAGAGCGGCUUUCUUAUUUCCAUAUCCUUCUUUCUAUCAUGUUUAUUUAUUUGUCAGCCUUCAAUUUGAUUUUCUGUAUUUCAGUUGUUUUUCCUCUGUAAAUGAAUUCCAGUUUUACCAAAGAAAAAAAAGCACUCAGGAGCAAGUUACUACUAGGCUGAUAAACUGACGGCAUUUUGUGGGGGUGCAACUUUGGGGCAAAAGAUUCGCGUGCUUUUAUAUGCUUCAGACUAUUUUUCUUGCUUCCCAGGAUUUUGUGUGUGUAUUUUUGUUUUAGGGUAUAGGAAUUAGGGUUUUUUUUUUUUUUUUAGGUUAAUUGAAUGUGAAGUGACAAUUGAAAUGCAAACCCCAUAUUCGUGGAGAUAAGAUGCGACAUCCAAUAAAAAGUUUUUUUUUUUCUUUUUUGAACAAACGAUUAUAUUUUAAGUUUACUAAGGGUAUGUAUGCUUCUGAUUUUCCUUCUAUUUUUUAAUUAUUUUAUUUUAUUUUGGGGAAGAGAUUGUUAGACUAAGCAAGUUUAUAUUAAAAUCAGAGUACACCUAUUUUUUGAUAUAUUUUUUUUUGUAUUUGAACAAUGGAUGUUAUCGUCUGCACCUUGAUAUUAUGAUAUGAUGUUAUUCCGUUUUUGUUUAUUGAUAUUUCACAUUAAUGGUACUAUAAACAUACAGAUAAACGAGAAAACAAAAACAAGUCUAUUUUAAAUCCGAUCUUUAUCCGAAAUAUAGCCAACAAUUUAUCAAAACCACUUAAAUACUAUCUCCGUAGCCUCCGAAUAGUCAUGAAACUCACUAGAAUUGAAUUUAACACUUCUCACUUAUAAGUGGAGAAGAAUGUCAGUUAACGAUCUUUAAGUUUUUUAGAUUAUCUAAGUAAAUGUUUUUUUUUAUUAAUGAAUAAUGGCGUAAGCAUUUAGCUUUAAGUCAACGACCAUUACGCUAUUUUCUGCUUUGUUUUUUGGCAAAACGGUUCUCUCUUUGCUUGAUUGUGUUUGGUGAAGGAAUCUCUUUGUUUCAUACAGAUUAAGAGCAGGUUAAUACAGAUUAACCAUGAUUAAUCAUCAUCCACAGCAGGAAAUCAAUGGCAGGUUUGUUUGACAAGCAAGCUGAUUUGUACUUGGAUUCGAGGCCAACUUAUCCCAAAGAAUGGUAUUCCAAAUUGGCAGAUCUCACUCCUCAUCUCUCUCUCGCUUGGGAUGUCGGAACCGGCAACGGCCAAGCCGCUAUCGGCGUUAGUAUCACGAUACUACCCCUCUUUCCCUUCUCACUUUGCUGCAUUUCUUUGAAUUCAGUUGAAAUUAUUUACUUUACAAUACAAAUUACAAUACACGCAAGUUAGUUUAUUUUUUCUCUUAAACUAAGACUUUCACAUAGACGUGAGUCAAGAAAGUUGAUCACGUUAGUAUGAUGGUGCCUUUGCACGGAAGUUUGAAUAGCAUAUUAGAAUAAUUUUGAAUAUCGUUUUGUCAGCUCCAUAGUUUCAUAAUAUACAUAUUGGUUGCAUCCCUGCUUUUCUAUGCUGCAUAGACUACUUGUAUGCAGCGAUUGAGACCGAAAAUAUAUAGAUAAUUGACUAUUGCACCCAAAUCUUUGAUUUUCAAAGGAUUAAUAUACAUAUAUAGAAUCAAAACAAAUGAUACUGAGAUUCGCCAGGAGGAUACAUCUCAAAUCGCAAAAGGACGUUUCGAAACCACUUAAGUUUUAGGUGGUGUAUUCAAUUGGGAUUUUGAGGGAAUUUAAUUCUUUUAAUGAAUCUAGGGGUAUUCAAUCUGGAUUUUAAGUGAUUCUCUGAAAUUCAAUGUGUAUUCAAUCAUUCAAUCAGGAUUUUAAGAUAGUUUAUUAAAAUCCUUAGAAAUCCAGGUGUAUUCAAUUAGAAUUUGAAAGAAGUUCAUAACAUUUUAGGUGUAUUCAAUUAGAAUUAGAAUUUAAAGAAUUUGGAAAAGUUGAGGAAUUAGAGGGAAUUGGAGAGAUUUUGUUGUGUAUUUUAAGCAUCCACAAAUCUCACAUCUCCCCAUGAGAUUUCGAGGGAAUUAAAUCAAAAUUUUAUAUGGAAUCUCUACAAAUCAGUUAAACUCCAUAAAAAUCCAUGAAUAUAUAAAUUCAUUAAAAUCUCUCAAAUUCCCAAUUGAAUACACCCUCCUAGAUUAUAGUCUAACGCAUUUCACACAAGUAUAGAUCAUGUUGACUGUUGCUAAAUGUUACCACAACGAUUGUGCACGUUAAGUUUGACAAGAGAACAUUCAUUGCUCUAAUAUGUAGACUGUAUGUUUUAAUAAAAAGGUUGCUGAGCACUAUAAACAAGUGAUUGGAACCGAUGUGACUGAAUCCCAGCUGCAGCGUGCAAUGCCACAUCCUCUUGUUCGAUAUGCCCACACGCCGUUAACCAUGACAGAAGACGAAUUAAUAGCCUUGAUCGGGGGAGAAAGUUCAGUGGACUUGGUGACUGUGGCUCAAGCUGUGCACUGGUUCGACCUACCAAAGUUUUAGUCUUGUUUCGCGGCUUCUGAAGCCAGGAGGCGUGUUGGCGGUUUGGUGCUACAAUCACAUCGAAGUUUUUCCUGAAUUUGAACCUAUUGUGAAGCGACUUGAAGAUACAACCCUUCCCUAUCAUCAUUGUAACAUUCAGUACGUGUUUGAUGGUUACAAGACGCUUCCUUUUCCUUUUUAGAGCGCUGGUUUCGGAUGCGAGGGGAGUCCAUUGGCGCUGGACAUUCCAAAGAAGUUGUCUUUCGAAGGGUUUUUGAAGAUUGUACGGUCAUGGUCUGCAGUUAAUACAGCCAAAGAACAAGGCGUGGAUUUGUUGCCCGAAAAGCUGGUUAAAGAGUUUGAGGUUGCUUGGGGCGGCACCAAAUUAGUCAGGUCUGUCAGCUACAAGGCUUUUAUGCUCGCCGGAAAUGUUAAGGUGUGAUCUUGUUGGGAGGGUGUGCGGAUCAUUUCCUCCUACAAACAAAUAUUACUUUGACGUUUUUAUUGAAAUUUCUUCUUGUGUUUCUUAUGAGUCAAUAUAUGUAUCAGCUUGUGAUUUGCAUACUAUAGUGUAUAUUUAUAUAGACUUGUGAGAACUGACUUGAAUCUCAAUUCAGAAAAUAAACACAAGAAAUUUUUUAGCUUUCGCACUCUACCUCUUUCCUCUUUCACCUAUUUAAUGUGUGAAAUUCGUCUCAACCAUUGAUGAGUUCAACUCUUUAAAUACAUGUGACAUAUAUCAACAGUUAAUCAUCAUUUACAUGUGCAAUUUUUCUUACCAUAAUAUUUUGUUUUUUAGUCUCUCUGACGUAGCAUGAAGCUAAGGAUUACAAGUGUAAUCCCUGUAGAACCAAAAAUUUCUGGAAUCCACCAGUUUGGAGAGAAAUCCCAAAGGAUGAUUUGAUUAAUUGAUGAUUGAUGAUUACAUUGAAGCAUCCAUGGACUUAAAUAAAUGGACUACAACUCCCUGAGAAAACUUAAAUGGCUUAGGUAAUUUAAACGAAAGCAAACGACAUUAACUAGACAUAAAUCGAGGUUCGGUUUUUAUUACAUAAUCUCAAAUGCUGUUUUCGAAGCCUAAACGGUCUCGCAUGGCUAAAAUUCACCAUGUUUUACUGCAAAGCUGUGAGUUGGAACCACGGCGUUGUUCCCUUCUCAAGAAGGUAUCAUGGCUCAAUUCAGAGCUUGGAUGCCAAAUCUGCAAAUUUAUGCUUCAUCCCUUUGUCUUUGGUUAGUCAAUUUCCUCUUCAAUUCACUCGAUCAUUUGUUCUACAUCACUCUCUCUUUGUUCUUAAAGAAUUGGCAAAAACUUCAAUAAUGAAUCAUGCCUCUACAACUACAACCCCAAAGGACAAAGCAUCAAAUUCUAUUUACCCAGUGAGGGCUCCUUCCCUCUCCGAUCUAGGUCAACAAAAUCAUAACUUUAUCACCUAACGGUGGACCAAGUUUUGUGAUUUAUACUUUGAUUAAUAAAUAAUUUACGUAGUAAACAAUGGCAUGCAUUUGUUUAAGAGUUUCGCUUUCGUUAAGUCUUUGUCACAUUUAAUUGACGGACAUUCUAAUAUAUGAAGUUUGGGAAAAGACAUGUUGCCUCUUGUUAUAAUCCUCGAUGUAGAUGUGGAAAAUAAAUAUUUUGUUCUUCAUGAACAUUAUAUCAUUAUUUUUUACUAUUAAAUCCCAUGUGCCGUAUCAAUUUGUAGUUCUAAGUCGUUAAUUUAUGUGACCUUCAUUAUAAAAAAUUCAUAUGAACUACAUUUGACAGUUAUUUAUACAGACAUGAACGAUUCCCAUUAGCAUUUAACUUUCAUUAAGUGAAAAGAUAUGUUGCCCUAUUAUUAUGAUAAUUGAUGAUAAAUGCAAAAAGAAAAUUACAAAUAAAAUCCUUUACACGGACAUUAAUCCAACGUAUAUGGUUAGGCUAUGCAUAGAAGAAACAAACAAAUACAAGAAAUUGAAUUAAUGUGUAUGCAUAAAAGAAGCUUCCUUGUGUGCCACUGCCAUGUGCGGGAGUGGAAGAGGGAGAAGAACUCUUCGAAUCGGCCUCUACUCUUGUGAACACUUCCAUGGCACUCACUAUCAGAGGUAGGGUGGACCCACUGGCCAACGCCAUUGUCACGUUAAUUAUGGGACCCACAACGGUCACAGUAUACAAAAUGAUUACUUUGCAUUCUUCAAAUUUAAGUGUUGCCGUAGACUUUUUCUGACCGUUGAUGUAGAUGUUGAUGAUCCAUGGUAUCAUUUGGUUUGGGCAAGGUUGCCGUUUCGGCGAAGUAGAGCACUAUGUAAGCCGAUUGUGGGGUCGAGUGGGGGAGAUGAUUGGAUCAGAAGGUUUCAGUGAUUGGAUGGAGUCGAGAAGCACCGGAAUAGGAGGGUCGUUCUCUAUUAAAAGGAGGGGAGUGGCUACGGUAGGGACUUGGACGCAGUUUGGUGCGGUUGUACCUUUCCUCACUCAAUGGUUCUGCGUACCUGCAUUGAUUUAGCAUUUUGUGUCCAUUGUCAAUCAAAAUCCAACUCAUUUCUACAAUAAUCGAGGAGAGACUUUGGGUACGGAAGCCCGUACAACGUCAUUUGUUCGCGAAAGACACGGUCGAAUGUUAGAAUUUAUUGUUGAUAUAUUAUGAAUCUCACAUGAAUUAACAAUACACAUACAAGAUUUUGUAUCUAAUUUUUCAUGUCAAAAUUUAAUGAGCAUAUGAUUAGGGUAAGGGCAUAAACAACUAUAUAUAAUAUAGGAAGCCUUUAAGGGAAGUGUUUGGACCCGAUUUUACAAUAUCUUCCCGAGCAAUCGAGGCCGUUGAGUGAGCAUGUUUCUAGACCAUCGGAUAAGAAAGUUAAGAUAAUUUUGUUGUUGUUAAGAGAUAAUAUUAUGGUUUUAAUCAUAAUAAUUAUCUUUUAAUAAAUUAUCUUGAUUUUCUCGUACAAGAUAAAUGGAAUACAAAACAAGUCUACGAGAGAUUCACGUUUGUUGAUGCACAAAACCGGAUGGUCUUGAAACAACGUAAAUCCGACCGUGAAUCUGCAAGAAAUGUAAAUGACAUAAGAUGUAUCGUGGUUCACCCUAAGGUUUGGGCUACGUCCACACUGAUUGUAUUUAUUUGAGGGAGAGAGAGAGCUCUGAGAGUGAGAGCAUUGAGAGGGGGUGAGAAGAGCCUUAGGAAUUGGUCUCCCCCAAUUGUGAGGGUGAGGGGUCCUUUUAUAGAAUAAGGACUCCUCACUUAUUACAUAUUUUCCCCUUCCUUUAUUACAUAAUCACAUUUAAGUCCCUCGAGUAUUUAUAUGAGGUCUAAAUACGAGACCCUAAAUAUGGUAUAAACAGUAGUCCCCAAAGUCUUCAGUCAAUUGAGUCUUUUGGCUGGAGACUUGAAAUUCAGUCCAUGUGUGGGUCGAAGUAACUAGAUGUUGUCUUGAACUGAUGCUCGAUAUGAGGCAGUGCUCAAUCUGAAAUGACGCUCAACUAGAAGUAGCAUACGCUGCAAGGCUGCUCGGCUCGUGGCUUAUGUUGCCUUGGUUGGCUCGGCUAAGGUGAGGGAGUCCCUUUUAUAGAAUAAGGGCUCGCUCCUCAAUACAUGAAUGAUGGGCUAGAGUUGAUGCUCUCUAAUGGUGGUGAGGGAGUCCCUUUUAUAGAAUAAGGGCUCGUUCCUCAAUACAUAAGUGAUGGGUUAGGAGUGAUGCUCGCGGCGAGGCGGUUGCUCAGCUGGCGGAGUUGCUCUCUAAUGAUGGUGGGGGAGUCCUUUUUAUAAAAUAAAGGAUCGCUCCUCAGUACAUGAAUAAUGGGUGCUCUCUAAUGAAAGUGAGGGAGUCCCUUUUAUAGAAUAAGGGCUCGCUCCUCAAUACAUAAGUAAUGGGCUAAGUCCCCCAAGUAUUUUUCAUGAGGCCCAGUUGAGGCCCAAUAUAUGGUACAUAAUGUAGUCCACCAAGUCUUCGGUCAAUAGAGUCUGUUGCUGGAGACUUCAAAUUGAAUCCGUGUAUGGGCCGAAGUGGUGGUUUUUCGGAUGUGGUAUUUGUAUACCCUGCACUGAAGCUUUGUAGGUGAAGCUUUGCAAGUGAAGCUUUGAAGCUAGAGCUCUGUAAAUGAAGCUUUUCGAAGCUAGAGCUUUUGUAAAUGAAGCUUUUAAAGCUGUAGCUUUGUAAAUGAAGCUUUUGAAGCUAGAGCUUUGUAAAUGAAGCUUUGGAAGCUAGAGCUUUUGUAAAUGAAGCUUUUGAAGCUAGAGCUCUGUAAAUAAGCUUUUGAAACUGUUUGACAUGAGUGAUGCUCAUGAAUGUUUAUGACAUGAGUGAUGCUUAUGGAUGUUGUCAUGAAUGAUGCUCAUGAAUGUUAACAUUAGUGAUGCUUAUGGAUGUUGUCAUGAGUGAUGCUCAUGAAUGUUAACAUUAGUGAUGCUCAUGAAUGUUGACAUGAAUGAUGGUCAUGAAUGUUUAUGUAUGAUUGUCAUGAGUGAUGCUCAUGAAUGCUUAUGUAUAAAUGACAUGAGUAAUGCUCAUGUAUAAUUUGGAGUACUGGGCGUACUUUUGAUCACCUGGUUGGUGGCAUGAAGGAGAGUACGGGUUGUACAUUUCAUCACCUGGUUGGUGGUAAUAGCGGCAGGUUACCGAAUAAUUAUGGAGUACUGGGCGUACUUUUGGUCACCGGGUUGGUGAUAAUAAAAGGUUUGGCUCUUUUGAGCAUAUGGGCCUUCGCCCUCCACAUGACAUUGCAGCCCAUUAUUUUGGGCUUGCAGUCCAUUAUUUGGGCUUUUUUUUUAUUUACCUUCUGAUGGGGUUUAUACAUAUUACCCUAUGAUGGGAUUUAUACAGAUGUUUCUGAAAGAUAAAAUAAAUUACAUCAUUCUGGUUGGGUGUUUAUUCUUUGUUUUUGCAGUGUCCUCAUGUGCCUCUCUUCUUCUUUUCUCUUUUGCAGAUGGCAGACAAGGAAUGAUAAGUACAUUAAUCUUAUCUCCGCUUUUGCACGAUUCCUCAUGAUCACAGCCUCCACCACCUCUCCAUACUUCCUGAAAUAUUCCUUGAGCCGUUUCUUAUCUGUGUCCCAGGGAAUCCCUUUUUUUUCUUUUUCUUUUCCUUUACCCUGAUCUCUCCGCCUCCAGACACACUCACUUGCUUUUGCUUUUACUUUCCCAUUGCACCUCUAUUGUAGGCCCAUGCUCUUCCCCUAAAUCCUAAUUUUACUGUUGCUCUUUUACCUAGUAAACCUUCCUGAAUACUUGUUCGUUAGACAUGAGCCAACUGCCUCCAUCACUGCUUGAUUAGUAAAAUUUUCUGAGGUAAUAAGCUCAAGAUUCUUGAACUAUCGGUGCUUGGGUUCUAACGGGUCGAGGUAGGAGAGGAUGCGGCAGUCGCCGAUGAGCUCCAAGAAGGGCAUGUAAAUACCGGUGAAGAUGUAUUUCUUCUUGACUUUCGAGACAUCGAAGGGCAACGAGAAGCUCUUGCCGUCGAGGAGAGCGACGACCUGGGACUUGUAGGUGACGGUGGGGCCCGGCGGCAUGUUGAUUGGAAAAAACCUGAAAGGGUAGGUUACCUGACAGGAAGCUCUUCCCACUGGCCGUGCUGUUGGAUGAUUGAAAAUUUUGAAGGGGUAGGUUAUAGACCCAUCAAAGGUGGUGGACGUCGGUCACAGCUCUCUCGUCGGGGACAACACCUUUCUUGGUAGCAGCUGGAGUAAAUGGGACUGUCAUUGCGCCAUGUUCCAUUCUGACAAGGCAAACUUUAACGCCGGGACGGGUGGCACUAAGUGUUGUUGACAUGGUUGUGUUAAAAACCGACAUAAUCGAAGCUCACAUCCACGUUGGAUUUCAUGGCUGUCUUGAUCUGGGCAAUUUCAUCAUCCAAAUCCUCUAUUUUUGUCGAAAGCUUUGACAGUGUCAUUAGCACCGAGACGACCUUGAAGGGCUUUUUGAGCAGGACCGUCGACGACCUUGAAGGGUUUUCUGAGCACGGAAGGGAGAUGAAGUGCAUCGAUACAACCGGCCUGGACCUCGCUGUAGACGGAGGCGAAUCGACCGGUGACAGGUGCCGGAACUGACUCAACAUCGGCAGCACCGUCGUUAGCAAUUAGUGAUGAUGGAUGAAUGAGUGGUUGAUUUCGCUAAUGUAUAAGCGACUGUCUGGAAGCUGACUGGAGCUUUUGCAGAGAGAUAAUGGUGAAGCAACGUCAUGGAAGCUGUUUGGAGCUUUUGCUUCUGGACUGCGUCCCAUGACUGGUGCAGGGGAGAAGUCAUCAGCAAAUUUGCUAGUUCAAGCCCCGUACUGCUAAUUUGGUUGUUCAUCUUCAGUAGUUUCUGUAGAAAUAUGCUUCGCAGAGAGAGAAUGGUGAAGCAACGUGAGAGCUGGACGACGUCGUUUGAGCUGGUAGGGGAACUAGGAGAGAUGGAACGAGAUCUUAUGAAUCAGAAAGGAAGGUUUGGACUCAUGGGUUCCCAUCCAAAAUUCAGCAUAUGAUUUCUUGAGUUUUGGAGUUUUCCUUUCUGCAUUUUUGAGAUAUGGGUUUUGCAGUGACUUUGGUUUCUGGGUUUGUGUGAUUUUGCAGAUUCACGGCGAAUGUGAAAAAAUGAAAGAGAACCGACAUAACUUUUUGUGUCGAUUCCCACAGACGGCGCCAAAUGUUGAUACACAAAACCGAAUGGUCUUGGAACAACAUAAAUCUGAUCGUGAAUCUGCAAGAAAUGUAAAUGACCUAAGAUGUAUCGUGGUUCAUCCCAAGGUUUGGGCUACGUCCACACUGAUUGUAUUUAUUUGAGGGAGAGAGAGAGAGCUCUGAGAGUGAGAGCGUUGAGAUAGGGUGAGAGGAGCCCUAGGAAUUGGCCUCCCCCAAUUGUGAGGGUAAAAGGUCCUUUUAUAAAAUAAGGACUCCUCACUUAUUACAUAUUUGCCCCUUCCUUUAUUACAUAAUUACAUUUAAGUCCCCCGAGUAUUUAUACGAGGUCUAAAUACGAGGCCCUAAAUAUGGUAUAAACAGCGUUCAUGUGUGAUAAGGAUGUGGAUAUUUUGAAUUAAACAUGGUUUUAUUUGGCUGGAUAAUUGCAUGAUAACCUCAUGCAAUUAUAUUGGUUUUGAUCCUGUCAAACAUGGAUGAUUUUUCGUGGACAUUUUAAAUAGGUACUCAUCCAAUUUAAGAUGAGGGCUGAUGGAAGAUUAAUCUGCGCAUGCAAACCACAUCAAAGAUCAAAUAUAAUCCUUUGAAGAUCAAGCCACGUCAAACACAUGGGAGAUUGAAAUUGGACUCUACUCAAGGAUCAAGCCACGUCAAGCAUGCAUGUCUCUAUAAAUAGGAGUGGUUGUGCAACAACAAAAGGACCUCCAACUCAACACACAAACUGCCAUGCUCAAAUCCUCGCUUUACGCGAAACCUCUCAAACAUCUUGAGAUUUUUUAUUUUAUUUUUCGCCAACACAUCUUCAGUUUGGAUAAAUAGCACUGUGAAGGCAACCGGCGAACAUCUUCAGUUUAGAUAAACAGCACUGUUGCCGUAGAAUCAGCCGACCGUGAAGCACCUUCAGUUUGGAUAAACAGCACUGAGACGGGGCCGACUGGUUAUCUAUCCAAGUCUUGGUCGAGAAUGAUUUUCAAAUCCUUAUUGGCAGAUGUCAUCUCGUUAGCCUUCUCGGCAAAAAGAUGUGUUACAAGUUACUACAUUCGGCACAUUAAAAGCCGAAUUUGAUAUUGAAUUUCGCAGAACUAGCAGCCUUGUAUUCAGGCUCUAGAACCCGAAGGUCAAGACGUGUUCCUUCCUCGGCUGCAGUCGCACGAUCGAGAAGUCAGACGCGCAUCCAACGCAACAUCAACAAAUUUAACUCUUCAACCGAGCUCGGCCAACGAGUUGGCACGCCCCGCAUACAACCGAAUGACGUAGUUAGCUUACUAAUUACUCGGCCUGCGCGCCACGUAGGCUUGGUAGUUUUUAGGGUCAACAGGAAGAUAUUCCUUUUUUUUUUUAAUUUUUUUUUUAUAAAAAUGAGAAUUAGUUGUGGGGUUCACACAACAUUGAACUUUAACGAUCCGAACCGUUUAUUUUUCAAGUUGUACCUCAUAGACCAUCAUUCAAAAAUAUUAGCCAAAUCGGUAAUAUUUAAGACAUCUAAUUGGGCUUAAAAAAAUAAACGAAUACUUUGUUAUAUAAGAAACAAUGAAAUUUGAUCUUGAUAAUUAAAUAGGCAAAUGGUUUCGAAUUGAAUUGAAUUUUUCCGAGGAUGAUCUAUGAAACAAAAUAGACAGUUCAGAUCGUUAAAAUUCAAUGUGGAGUGGGCCCCAUAACUAAUCCUCAUUUAAAAAAAUAAAUAAAUCUUUUUGCAUAAAGGGCCUGAUAUAUAUAACUAUUUUACCUACCUCUCAAUGUUUAUGUGACACUCGCUUUUACAUGGUUAAGCUCAUAUGGAAUUUUUGAGAACUCAUAUGAAUUUAAAUUUUUUCGAGUUGUGUGCGAUUCUAAUAGCACUUUGUGUUACAUAUAAUUCGCCCUAUUUCUCAUGUCAAUGUUCAUUCCGACACAAUGCAACAUACGAAAUUCAGUAGUCACUUAUGUUGUGUGAUAAAGAUGCAGAGAAUAAAAAUGGUAAAUUGACACUAAUGAUUUUGAGAAAGGUAUACCUUACUUCAUUGCCACCAAGAUUAACCGGAGAUAUUAGAUCAUAAGCGUAACUGGUCUUCAUCUUAGGGUACAAUGGACCAGUUAGAACAUAUAUUGGAACAGCUUCUAUUGAAGAUACAAAGGGAACCAUUCCCUUCUCAAACUGCACAACACACACAUUUAGUGAUCCUGACCCUUGAUUCACAUACAUGGCUUCAUGGUACAAUGGCCCUUCCGCCAUUGAUGCUUUGACCGUUGACCACUUUCGGCCGUUGAUACAAAGAUCAAACGGCGGAGGGCGGGAGAGACCAUCAUAGUCUCCGUAGUAGAAGCCCGCCCUGAUCAAGUACCGCUGAGUAGGUGCAUUGUAAGGCAAAACAUAACAAUUUUGCUGGUUUUGGUUAGGGAAUGAUCGGAGGGUGUUCAUUGCUUCAAGUGGUUGCUUUUGUGGAACUUGCUUGUUGAUGCCUGCCUUGGUGUAGUCAUUGUCUGUGACCCAUUAGAGUAAGUUUUAUCCCAACGUGUAGCAUUGCUACCGCAGUCAAUGUUCAGCCAUCUGAUUGUAACUGCGAUUUAAAAAGCAAUAAUCAAGAGCAAGUUUGAUGUACGCGGUCAAUCACAAUCUAAACUAUCGAUCAGGUGACUUUGUACUCGAAUGAAUAUAUAUGAACAAGAAUUGAGAGUUUAGUAACAUAACGACAUGACGGAGGAAAUAAAAAUUAUGCGUUGCAAGUUAGACGUACUAUGAGACGAAGCGCGGAAUAAAUGGAAGGCUAGAAGAAGCGCCGGUACCCAUAAAUUUGUAUUCAUAGAGAGUGGCUUGAGUUUUAGAAUUGAGAAUGAAUUUCAGUGAGGGAUGUUUGGUUUAUGAGGUUAGAUUUGAUUUAGUUAUGUGACUUAUGUCAAUGAAAAUACCCUCCCCUGGAUAUCUCCACCGCAGAGACUAAUAUUAUAACAUAUAUAUACACACACACACACUGCUGUGACAAAUAUAUACAUACAUGUCGCAGUGGCACUAUUUCUUGAAUUUAUCUCUGUUUCGUUAAGAAAUAUCGAAACCAACAUUGCAAACUUCAAACUUUUGAUCUAAAUAUAAUUAUUUAAUAAUUACCAAUGGGUUUCCAUAGAAAUUUAGUAAAAACAAGACUAGCUAGUGGCUUAACCACAACAAUUCCAUUCUUCUGGGGGUCGGAAAGACUCAUGAGGACAUUUUAGACUCUCUUGGCAACCAUCUUGUGAUCGAACCUAGAAUGUAUCGUAUAUAAAAUGGGCCGAUAAUUCGUUAAACCUACAAAAAAAAAAGUCAAAGACAUGUGAUAUGUAUUUUUACCACCUACAAAAGUAAGGAUAAAAACACUUUAAAUACUUGCAAGAGUACAAGGUAAUUGUAGUAUAAUCGGCUCUAGCAAGGUCGUUCUCUUCAGGGAUUGAAUGAAUAAUUUGUAUCUAAUCAAAUCUUAAUUAAUUACUUAAAACAAAGUUUUGGAAAAAGGUGAUUUUGUGAUUUCAAAUAAUAAAAACAAAUUUAAUAGAAAUAAAGUGACAAAAUAAAAUAAACUAAAAGAAAACAAGUUUUGAAAAUUAAAUUGUAAAAACCUAGGGUUCCGCCGUCACCUUACAAUCUUAUGUAAUUCUUUCAAUUACUUAUGAAUUACAAAUGCAUAUUUUGAAGCCUAGGUUUUCCUAAUAUAUGCCUACUUGGACCCCCAACAUAGAGCGUAUAUCAAACAUGCAACCCGUCUGUGUUAUUCAAAUCAAAUCUAAACAUGCAUGACUUAUUAAGCUUUGUGAAACCUUUUAAAAAACCAUACAACCCUUAAGACAUGGUAUUCAUCCUAAGUGAACUUGCACAUAUUAAUCACAAGAAGCAUUCGUCAAUUUCAGGGACUGACCUCUGACCAAAAUUGCAUCAAAUUAUUUUUCUAAAGAUCUUAAUGGUAGCUAAGCAUUAAGACAAAUAGAUAGUUUAAACCAGUGAUUAAUAAUUCAAACGUGCAUGCAUAAUAUCAUAACCAAAUUGAAAAGAAACUACAUAUUCUUGCUAAGGUUCGUAGCAUCACCCUAGCAAACGGAAUUUAGUUACAAGCAAUCAUACAACGAAAUAUUAUUAAAUAUAAGGAUAGAAAACACCUUCAAAAUAAACUUGAAUCCAAAAGCUUUCUAAAGUGUGCAUGCAUUUUUUUCCUAUCCCCCUAUCUUCUCUAAAAAAAACCAUAAUGGCUAAAAAGCCUUAUUUAUACUACUAGAAAAUAAAACCCUACCUAGAAAAAGUCUUAGAAUAAAACUAGGAAACCAAAUAAAUUAGGAAACAAAAUCCGACUAAUAAAAUUCACCCAAAAUCUGCGUAGUCUCAAAAUAGCCACGUUUCUGGAUCUUCGGGGAUUCAAAACAGGCCUAAAACGGCUAGAAUUAAAGCUUGAGAUGUCCCGAGCAUAAUUGUACAAUGCCUCGAACCCGAAAGACACCAUAUUGGACACCAAAAAACCCCAAGAAGCCCAAAACGUCACUUUGACAGCACUGUGCGCUGCUCGUUUAUUUGAUCGCCAUAGAUAAAGCGCUCGGUAUAAAAUUAUGAAACUUUGAUACAAUCAAUUCAACAGACUCACGAACAUCCUCCAAUUGGAAUCACUCCAAAAUUCAUCUGUUUGAUCACUUUUGGCUCCGGAGGAAGUCGAAUAUCCUACAUUAAGAAUAUAAAUCAAAGUAUCAAAAUUCUACUAAAAUAACCAAUAAAUUAAUACUAAGAAUAAGGUAAAAUAUAUAGUAUAAUAUAGACUCAUCAACGUGUUAAAGUAAAAAUAUGGGUUAGGGGUCUUAGGCAGUUAACUAGAGCAGUGUGUCAACCCCUUAGCAUUCAAGUUUGAAACUCUUUUUUUUUUUUUUAAUUUGAAUAGUUUAUAUUCUUUGUUUGACAAGACAAAAUAUAUUUUAAAGUACUCAAUUUUAUGGUUUUUAAUUUGAAUAGUUUAUAUUCUUUGUUUGACAAGACAAAAUAUAUUUUAAAGUACUCAAUUUUAUGGGAAGAGGUAAUCGAACUUGGGUGCAAAUGGUUAGACCCUCCCAACUGAUGAUACAAAGCCAGAGAUUUGGUCCAAAAUUUGGGGUUUGGUUGGGUUCAAAAGCAAUGGUACAUGCGUAUCAGAUUAGGCAUAUUUACCAAUCGACAUCCAUAUUUGUUGAUUUGAAUUAAACAUAACAAAACAACACUAAUAUUCCUCAUAAAACAUGAUCAUUUUUCUUUAAAUUAAAUAAGACAUAGCACUUUCCUAUAGCUUCAUAGAUUGUAUGUAAAUAAUUCACUAAGCACAGAACAGGAAUCCCUCUCAAGUUUUAUUUCUCCUCUCAGUUUUCAUGCCUCCACUUUUUCAUUUCCGGCUUCAGCACGAUAAGAUUCCUUGCACCCAUUCAACAAUUCAGAUAACCUCGCGGCCAAACUUUGCUUUGCUGCAGGAGAAACACCGUGCUUUCCAACGAUCGACUCUAGAACUGCCUCGGAAAGUAGUUUGUUUUCUAUCACCGUGUUUGCAGCUUCAGGUACAGAUGCAUCUCUAGAGAAGCUAAUCUGUGGCGAAAGCAAGGGGGAAAGAUGUCAAAAUCCGAUGUAAACUACAGAAGUAACCAUCCAAAAGUAGGAUUACUAACCGUUAGUGAUCCUUUGGGAGAUUGCGUGAAAAGAAUGGAGGCGCCGGGUGGGAAGUUUUGAUCUUUGAAGACCUCAAGGAACUUUUCAAUGGCUUUGCCUUCUGCAUCAGUGUAAAUUCCGAUUGACUUCCAAAAGGCAACGCAAUUCUCCGAAACUUUGUCAGAGUAUUGCUGGCCUGUGAGUGGCAGUAUCGUUGUCACUUGAAUGAAUUUCUCAAACGGACCUACAAAAGGAUAGCGAAGAUCAUAAACCGCGCUACAAAACUAUAGUCAUAUCUUUAGUAACUGUUUCCUAUGCCUCAAGUAAUCACCAUAACCAGAAGAUAGCACUACAUUUUGAGAGAUUCAUUCAUUCUAAUUGGCUGGUCAGGACUAAAUUACCACCAUAACCAUGAGCAUACAUAAGUUUAAAAAUGAGAGUAUAACUCAAGAAAUCUACGACAUUUGUUGAAUGUACAGAUCUAUAUCGGCAACUGAGAGAAGGGCGGGCCACAGGGGAUGAAUAAUGUAACAAUAUUCAACCAGUCGUUAAAACAGCGAAGAAAUCCGUGUUACCUGUAACGAUGUCCCUGAAGAACUCAACGGACUCCGUCAACUCCUCGGCCGUCUUACCCUUCCACUUAACGGCGAGCAGAGGCACGGCGUUUUCCUCCAAGUACACUCCGAUCGCCGUGAACUUCACGAAGUUCCCCUGAAUCUCCAGCCCCCUCACCCCUGCGCACGUUAGCAACCAAAAUACCGUCAAUCGGAACCAAAAGCAAGCAAAAAACAUUCAAACAAUCAGAAUCGCAGAUAUAAGCGGCGGAGAUGCAAAGUUUACAGACCUGCGCCUCCGAGGAACAGAGUGUUGGAGGAGCCCGGAGGUUUGACGGACGGUGGAAACGCAGUCGUCUCGACCUGGAGUCCGGCGAGCGAUGGCGUUGGAGCCAUUUGACAAUUUUGUUGUUAUUGUGUAGAGAGAGAGAUGGGGUUUGCUUUCGGAAACGGUGGAUUUAAAUAGAGAUGGAAAGUGGACGGGAGAGACCCGCUUCUCUGGGAAUAGAGAUGGAAAGUGGACGGGAGAGACCCGCUUCUCUGCCCUCCCACUUUUCAUACACACUCAUCGUUUCUGUUUUAUGAUCACGGUUAAGCUAUAUUAAAAUUUUAUAUUAAUCUUUUUAUAAAAAUAAUAAUAAUAUAAAAAUUUAACCCAACUUAAUACCUUAAUUGUAAUCGUAUAAAUAAAAAAAAGAUAAGAAUGUAUAAAAAAUAAAAGGACAGAGAGAGUCCAGGUCCGGACGGUAGAGGGUUUGAUGAGUAAGAAGAGGCGGUUGCGUGGGAGCCUUAAAGACGUGCGGGCGGCUGGAGGUAAGUCUGGGAGGUGUCCACAAACUGAUAGUCUGGUACCCAGAAAUAGAGAGAGAGAGAGAGAGAGAGUAAAAGAUUGUAAAGAACUUUUCUAAGGUAAAAAGAUAGUGAUUGGUCCAUCUUGGGUGAUGUGAUCAAUUAGUUUUAAUUAAUAGCUAAAAUAUCGAUAAUAUUGAAAAUAUCAGUAAUCUAAAAAUACGGAAAUUUUAAUGGAAAUAUCGAAAUAUUAUCGAUAUCGAUAAAAAUUGAAUAAAAAUCAUGAAAAUUGUAAGAAAACAUUGUAAGUGUAGAAAAUAUGUAGUAAUUAAUUAAAGAAGUUUAAACAUAUCAUAAUCAUUUAUAUAUUGUAUAACACAUAAACCUUAGGUGAAUUUAGAGUAAAUAAAUUUUUUAUUUGUUGAAAUUCCUUGAUAUUUUUUGCUAAAUUUUAGAAACUGUGUGUUUACAAAUAUAUUGAAGCAACUUUUUUUAUUUAACAAUUAUUAUUUAUGAAAUUUGAACUUAUAUAUCUUCUUUUUUUCAAAUAAAGUGAAAUUUAAGUAUAAUUAGACCAAAAUAUUAAAACUUAUUUAAUUUUUGUUAAAAUAAAUAAUAAAUAAUAAGGCAAAUAAAUAUUAAAAACAAAAAACAUUUAAGACAAUAGUUGCCAGGAGAUACCGGCAAUCCUUUAUUACGCGCGUUCCACUUCAGUACAUACAUCGCCACACACAGAGGAAUUAGAUCCGCUUCGGACCUUAGUGUGUUGAGCUUAAGGAUCAAAUUAUCUAGACCGUUGAUUAGUGUGUAAAAGAAAUCGGAACUGUUGAUUUUGUAUGAUAUCAGGAAAAUGAGUUAAUAAGGAUCUUGAGAUUGAAUUUAUAUGGUCCAGAUGAAUUGAUAUCUAGGCUCCGAACACUAAGAUCCGAAUCGGAUCCAAUUCCACAUAGAAGCACACGCGUUUUGUCUCCUUUCCUAAAUCAGCCCUAAUUCCAAUCUAAUCCAAUCCGCACACGAACCUCAAACCUUAAUUCCCAAAAUUUGUCCUCUAAUUCUUGCCAAAGCCCUCAAUUUCUCCCUUUUCCAAUCCCACCAUCUCCUCGUCCCAAACCCCAACCCUAAUCCAGAAGCAGAAUGCUUCUUACUCCGGGUCAUUAUCCUCGCCACCUCUCAUCCCCUUCGCCCUCUGCAAAUUCCGAUGCUUCCAUCCAAAACCCUACGAAUUCCACCCAAAUCACGCCCAAGAACCCUAAAAGCCAUCCACAGGUCCUCGACAAGGACACCUAUGUUGCGCCGAUCGAGAAGAUCAUCGAAAUUGACUUCUUUCACGAUAUUUCCAAGCUUCGAGACCGCCUCGACUAGCUCGAAGCGAUUAACACCCACGACUCAGUUCAGAUCCGAGAUGCCCAGUUGAAGAUCAUCGAGCGCCGCGGAAAGAAUGUAACUCAUAAUCCUGACCCUAAUGGUAGAAUCCCUGUGUUUCCCCCUUCCCCACUCAUUCGAACUUUCUCCCUCAUUCAUCUUCUUGUUUCUUCUCCCUCUAUCUCUGUAACUCUCCUUCCCGGAGCACAAGCACAACACACCCACACCCCACCGUGACCUCCACCACAGUGGCACACACUCCGGUGAACACCAUUACCACCUAUGGACCAUUCCUCCUCCCUUUCUCAACUCCCAGCGAGCACCAUUAGGCAAGAGGAGGCCUUGUUUGUUUUGGGAUCCGGAGAAAAGGGAUUGCUCAUUUUGAUGGGUUUGAGCGUGGAUUGCAGAGAGAGGCACUGAUCUUGGCAACUACGACGAUGGAGCCUCAACUGCAAUUUUGCGACGACGGAGCCUCGGCGAUAUUAUCGAUAAUAUCGCGAUAUAUUGAUGAUAAUUAAGUGGAUAAGUGUGAAAAUAUCGCCCUUUCAAAAAAACGAUAUUAUUGGCGAUAUUUCGCCGAUAAUAUCGAUAUUUUAGACCUUGGUUUUAAUUAUGAAAACAAUGAUUUAAUUUUGCGGUCCUCAAAGGGCAAAGAAGAAGAAACCAACUUUUCUAGGAUCAAAGGGUAGACAGCUACUUCUUAAAGGGUCAUCAAAUGGUUUUAAUUAUGAAAACCACCCACUUGCAUGGGGCUUUUUAUAUUUUUAAAGUUUGGGAUGUAUAGUAUAUGCAUAUAAUUUUUUUUUUUGAUAGAAAAAGAAAAUAUUAUAGCGAAAAAUCUCUUACACAGCUAGUACUAAUACAGUCAAAUUGAAAAGUUAGGUGAGCAUCCACAGGGUGACAAGCAUCCUAAAUACAAAGAUUCGAACAAUUAAGACCAAUAGACGCCAAAGCAUCCCAAAUACAUAAAAAAUUCACAUAUGUAUGUUCUUCUAUAAGAAAUAACAUAUUAUUCAAUAAUUAUUUACACAUGAUCAAUGGUGGAUCCAGGAUUUUAACAUAGGGUGGUCCUAAUAUACAAGUUCUAGAAGAAAAAAAAUCCGACUAAUAAAAUUUGCUCAAAAUCUGCAUAGGCUCAAAACAGCCACAUUUCCGGAUCUUCAGUGCUCCAAAACAGGCCCAAAAUGGCUAGAAUUAAAGCUUGAGAUGUCCCGAAGAUAAUUGUAUAGGGCCUCGAACCCAAAAGACACCAUAUUGGCUACCAAAAAACCCAAAACGUCACUUUGACAACACUGCACGUUGCCCAUUUAUUUGAUCACCAUAAAUAAACCGCUUAGUAUAAAAUUAUGAAACUUUGAUACGAUCAAUUCAACAGACUCACAAACAUCCUCCAAUUGGAAUCACUCCAAAAUUCAUUUGUUUGAUCACUUUUUGCCUCAGAGGAAGUCGAAUGUCCUACAUUAAGAUCAAAUUAUCAAAAUUCUACCAAAAUAACCAAUAAAUUAAUACUAAGAAUAGGGUAAAAUAUAUAGUAUAUUAUAGACUCAUCAACGUGUUAGAGUAAAAAUAUGGGUUAGGGGCCUUAGGCAGUUAACUAGAGCAGUGUGUCAGCCCCUUAGCAUUCAAGUUUGAAACUCUUUCUUCUUAAAUUUGAGUAGUUUAUAUUUUUUUGUUUGACAAGAAGAAAUAUAUUCUAAAGUACUCGAUUUUAUGGGAAAAGGGAAUCGAACUUGGAUGCAAAUAGUUAGACCCUCCCAACUGGUUGACACAAAGACAGAUUUGGUCCCAAAUUUGGGGUUUGGCUGGGUUCGAAAGCAAUGUUACAGGCAUAUCAGAUUAGGUAUAUUUACCAAUCGACAUCUAUAUUUGUUGAUUUGAAUUAAACAUAUAACAAUACAACACUAAUAUUUCUCAUAAAACAUGAUCAUUUUUCUUUAAAUUAAAUACGACAUAGCACUUUCCUAUAGCUUCAUAGAUUGUAUGUAAAUAAUUCACUAAACACAGAAUAGGAAUCCCUCUCAAGUUUUAUUUCUCCUCUCUCAGUUUUCAUGCCUCCACUUUUUCAUUUCCGGCUUCAGCACCAUUAGAUUCCUUGCACCCAUUCAACAAUUCGGAUAACCUCGCGGCCAAACUUUGCUUUGCUGCAGGAGAAACACCGUGCUUUCCAACGAUCGACUCUAGAACUGCCUCGGAAAGUAGUUUGUUUUCUAUCACCGCAUUUGCAGCUUCAGCUACGGAUGCAUUUCUAGAGAAGCUAAUCUGUGGCGAAAGCGAGAGAGAAAGUUGUCAAAAAUCCGAUGUAAACUACAGAAGUAACCAUCCAAAAGUAGGAUUACUAA